AACGAACGCUGGCGGCAGGCCUAACACAUGCAAGUCGAGCGAGGACUUCGGUCCUAGCGGCGGACGGGUGAGUAACGCGUGGGAACGUGCCCUUUGGUACGGAAUAGCCCCCGGGAAACUGGGAGUAAUACCGUAUGGUGUCUUCGGACUAAAGAUUUAUCGCCAAAGGAUCGGCCCGCGUUGGAUUAGGUAGUUGGUGGGGUAAUGGCCUACCAAGCCGACGAUCCAUAGCUGGUUUGAGAGGAUGAUCAGCCACACUGGGACUGAGACACGGCCCAGACUCCUACGGGAGGCAGCAGUGGGGAAUCUUAGACAAUGGGGGCAACCCUGAUCUAGCCAUGCCGCGUGAGUGAUGAAGGCCCUAGGGUUGUAAAGCUCUUUCAGCUGGGAAGAUAAUGACGGUACCAGCAGAAGAAGCCCGGCUAACUCCGUG
rnacentral:rRNA from 1 species